GACGAACGCUGGCGGCGUGCUUAACACAUGCAAGUCGAACGGAAAGGCCCUGCUUUUGUGGGGUGCUCGAGUGGCGAACGGGUGAGUAACACGUGAGUAACCUGCCCUUGACUUUGGGAUAACUUCAGGAAACUGGGGCUAAUACCGGAUAGGAGCUCCUGCUGCAUGGUGGGGGUUGGAAAGUUUCGGCGGUUGGGGAUGGACUCGCGGCUUAUCAGCUUGUUGGUGGGGUAGUGGCUUACCAAGGCUUUGACGGGUAGCCGGCCUGAGAGGGUGACCGGCCACAUUGGGACUGAGGUACGGCCCAGGAUCCUACCGGAGGGAGGAGGGGGGAAUAUUUCCCAAUGGGGGGAAGCCUGAUGCAGCAACGCCGCGUGCGGGAUGACGGCCUUCGGGUUGUAAACCGCUUUCGCCUGUGACGAAGCGUGAGUGACGGUAAUGGGUAAAGAAGCACCGGCUAACUACGUG
rnacentral:rRNA from 1 species